UAUGGCCCUUAUCGAAGCUGCAGCUGCUUGUAUGUAGUUGCUGCAGUCAAAAAGGAGCCCAGAGUAAGAAUUUUCCUUGACGGUCGCCGUUCUGUUUGCUGUAACCGAUCUGCAGCAUUUUGGGGAAAGACAGUU
ensembl:snoRNA